UACGGAGGGUGCAAGCGUUAUCCGGAUUCACUGGGUUUAAAGGGUGCGUAGGUGGGCUAGUAAGUCAGUGGUGAAAUCUCCGGGCUUAACUCGGGAACUGCCAUUGAUACUAUCAGUCUUGAAUAUUGUGGAGGUUAGCGGAAUAUGUCAUGUAGCGGUGAAAUGCUUAGAUAUGACAUAGAACACCAAUUGCGAAGGCAGCUGGCUACACAUAUAUUGACACUGAGGCACGAAAGCGUGGGGAUCAAACAGG
rnacentral:rRNA from 1 species